rnacentral:rRNA from 1 species
CGGUAAUUCCAGCUCCAAUAGCGUAUACUAAAGUUGUUGCAGUUAAAAAGCUCGUAGUUGGAUUUCUGCGGGGACGGAGCGGCCGGUCGCAACUUGCGACUCGAGCUAGCGCUUUCCCCGCAUCCUGCCGCGAACCGUGCUACCAUUAGUUUGGUGGCGCUGGGGAUCGGCUCGAUUACUUUGAGAAAAAUAGAGUGUUCAAAGCAGGCCACACGCCUUGAAUAAGUUAGCAUGGAAUAAUGACUAAGGACUUUGGUUCUUUUCGUUGGUGUUCGGGACUGAAGUAAUGAUUGAUAGGGACAGUUGGGGCGGUCCGUAUUCCAAAGCGAGAGGUGAAAUUCUUAGACCUUCGGAAGACGAACAGCUGCGAAAGCGUUCCGCAAGGAUGUUCCCUUUAUCAGAUACCGUCGUAGUCUCAACUAUAAACUAUACCAGCUAGGGAUCGGCCAACGUUUAAUUAUUCGACUUGGUCGGCACCUUAUGAGAAAUCAAAGCAUCUGGGUUCCGGGGGGAGUAUGGUCGCAAGGCUGAAACUUAAAGGAAUUGACGGAAGGGCACCACCAGGCGUGGAGCCUGUGGCUUAAUUUGACUCAACACGGGAAAACUUACCAGGUCCAGACAUAGGAAGGAUUGACAGAUUGAUAGCUCUUUCUUGAUUCUGUGGGUGGUGGUGCAUGGCCGUUUUUAGUCGGUGAAGUGAUUUGUCUGCUUAAUUGCGUUAACGGACGAGACCCCAGCCUGCUAAAUAGCGCGGCCGAGCUUUGCUCGGUACGAGCUUCUUAGAGGGACCAUGAUGCGCGAUAGCACAAGGAAGUUUGAGGCAACAACAGGUCUGUGAUGCCCUUAGAUGUUCUGGGCCGCACACGGGCUACACUGGCGCCUGCAACGAGCAUAUCAGCUGGCCCGAGAGGGUCUUGGCUAAUCUUUGGAACCAGCGCCGUGCUUGGGAUUGACCAUUGCAAUUGUUGGUCAUGCAACGAGGAAUGCCUUGUAAACGCGAGUCAUCAGCUCGCAUUGAAUACGUCCCUGCCCUUUGUACACACCGCCCGUCGCUCCUACCGAUGAAUGUUCCGAUGAAAUUUUCGGAGAGCGCCGGAGAACGGGGCUCUGCCCUGCAGAACUGGAGGCUCAAAGUCACUUAAAUCUGAACAUUUCGAGGAAGGAGAAGUCGUAACAAGGUAACC